rnacentral:tRNA from 1 species
AGGUAAUGAACUUGAAAUAAGUGUGUAUUUUGAAAAUAUAAAAUAGAAUUUAAACUCUAUUAUCUU